rnacentral:rRNA from 1 species
CGGACGGGUGAGUAAUGUCUGGGAAACUGCCCGAUGGAGGGGGAUAACUACUGGAAACGGUAGCUAAUACCGCAUAACGUCGCAAGACCAAAGAGGGGGACCUUAGGGCCUCUUGCCAUCGGAUGUGCCCAGAUGGGAUUAGCUAGUAGGUGGGGUAACGGCUCACCUAGGCGACGAUCCUAGCUGGUCUGAGAGGAUGACCAGCCACACUGGAACUGAGACACGGUCCAG